UGUAUUGUGUUGGCUCGUCUGUGCUUUAUGAUAAAUGACCUACUAAAAACGCCGUUAAAUUUUAAUAAGCAAAUUUUUUAUAUAUUUGUUCGUGGAAUACACAAAUUCAUUUAUGAGCAAUCGUUAUCUGACCACAGAGGCUUUUGUUUUGACAUUUGGUCCAAAUGGCACAAGCAAGUACCUGGAAUGCGAAAUAUCCAAGUACUAUAGAGAGUACCUUUCACUUCUUUGUAAUGGAGCUUGACAAAUCUUCAGAAUGUGCGUAACUUGGCACAAAUAUUUGGGUUCUUUGUGUUUGAUUGAUGAGCUGCUGCUUAAGUUGAGCUUAAUCAUAACAAUACGAACAGCAGCAGUGAGUUGAAAUAUAAUGGAUAUCACAGUGUAGAAAUAUCCUUGUCAUCAACAAUAAAACUACUGCAACGGAGUACACCUAAUCACGCUGACGACGACAAAAAAUCAUGAGCAACAAGAAAGGCAAAAAUGCCCAACAAUAAGCCAACACACAAAAACAACAAUAUCGGACGCUGCCACAACAGACAGUAUAAACAUGGGACCGGGAGUAAAGAUCACAUACGAACGUGUUUAAUGAAUGCUCGUCGCUGAAGCAGGCAGCAGAGGCUGAUGGUGGCCUUGCUCUAGGACUCCUGGUUAUGUCGCCUGUUCUGCCUUCCUAUUGUUUUGUCUGACUCGUAGUUAGUGCAACGCCUGUGGUAUCUAAUUUAAGCAACGCUCGUUAUAAUUACAGCAUUUGCAGCCAAAGGCAACAAAAGUGGUGGAAAAUGAUGCGCACGUGACAUCCGUUUCCAGUAUGCAUUGCUCAGGGUAGUUGGUCAAGAAGUAAAAAUAAUUUACGAAUUAAAACUUUUAGCUUGCAUUAGUCGUUAUUCAUAAUCCGCUAUUGAAUUAAGAAAAAAGGAUAUCACACCAUGAAAUAGUCCGUAGCUGAAAUAUAUUUUAUUUGAUAUCUUGAUCCAUUAA